AGUGUGAUAAACUCUGAAGCUCUAAAGACAUGCGUAUCAUUAUAAGGAUGAAGCUUCUACUGAGCAGUCUGUUACUCGCCUCUCUCCGUGUCCACUCAUCUGGCGGUGUUUCAUCAGACACACUUAUUGUUACCCAGGAUCCUGAUGUCUCUGUCAUGGAGGGGGGGGCAGUCAACAUCACCUGCUGCUGGAAAGGCCAGCAUGUACGAGUGAGAGUAAAAUGGCUGAAGAAUCCUGUAAAUGAGACAAUUCAGA